UGAGAGGGUGGAGGAGAGGAACAGAAGCAUUUGUUCUUCAAAACUCUCCUCUCCCCACAGCCCGGAGGUCUCCAGUUCCAGAGGAGGAUGGCGUUGGAGGAGCCCCAGUCAUGACUCACUCAGAGCUAAUCCUUGGCGAAUCUGUCACCAUGGAAACUGCCAAUCAUCCAUGCUUUUCAUAGCUUCACCGAACAUCUGCCCUGGGAAAGCAAGUAGCGUGCUGCAUUCAUCCUGCCUACGGUGUUUAUGGAUAGGCCCCCGGUAAACAGACACCAGGGGAAGCAGCCCUCGCAGCAGGACCAUGGUCUAGCCCGCCUCGCUCCUGGGCUGAGUGCCUCUGAUCAAGCCCUUCCCAAGCUCUUCAGCGGCCCCCUUUCCAGCAGCCCAUUAUGUCCAGCGUCCAUGAGGUUUUCAACAUAACCAUCAAUAAAGAAUAUGGAUUUCAAAAAGACAGAAAGUUGAGAGUUGCUGGACUAACUGAUCUCAAAGUGAAUCCAGUCCAGUCCCCAGGCUAUAGAGAAGAGGAGGAGGCUGACCUAGAUCUGAUUGCCGUGGGGCAGGUAACUGGCAGCAAGGAAGCAGGAUUUGCCUGCACACUGUUUUGGCUUCUGUUUCUCAACAGCCUAGGUCCUUCGGAGAUUUCCGAGGAGAGCAGGAAUGGAAAAGCAGCAGCAGAUGGCUGGGGACUGUAGUGGUGGCAAAAGAUGACAGGACUAUGUGGUUUGUGGGGCCCAGUGCAAACAAAACUACAGGAACCCUUGUUCAAAACUUACUAGGACUUUUAGCCACAGAAAGCAACAACCAAGUGUGGGGCCCCUCUGGGCAUGGACCCAGCGUGAAUGCACAGGUCACUCACGCAGGCAGCAGGCCCUAGAGAGAAAUCCCAUAGAAGACUGGCCUUGGAGCUGGAGACAGAGAAAGAGGCCCACAGGCUCUGGAGCAGUAUGGACCUAGGACCCUGGCAGCACUAAUGUGUAUCCAGUAAGACCCGAGAGAGGAGGGUCCAGGAAGCAUACAGAUCCUAAGCCUUCGUUUCCCAAGCUCAGCAGAUUUCUGGUCCCCAAAAGUGGCUCGGGGCAGCACAAAGCUGCAGACAGGACAAUGGGAGGACCUGGCUGUGUCCAUAGAUGAGGAAUACCCAGAGCCCCUCUUCAGUGCCUCAGUACCUGGGUUUGCCCCCAAAGCCUGGACUGGUGUGCAGCACGGCAGGGCCAGGUGCAGCAGCAGCACAGACUGGCAGGAUCAUUUUGGCAGAAAGAAAGCUCAGGGUCAGAGUGACUUUCUCUUCAUUUUAUAAGACACGAACAGAUGCACUUUUGCUUCACAAAUCUGGAUACGUGGGACAGAAUCUUAACUGUCACUACUGAAGCCCGGCGCCAGGAUUAUCACCACGGCCACGCCUCAAGGGGGCUCACUUAGGAGCCCCUUGUAGUGUGUGAUUCAAGGGAAAGAUCAACUCUGGGCCAGAGUGAUCAGGCGGCAGAGAUGAAGAGAAGCAGAGAAAACCCAGUGAUAUUCGGUUCAACUUGACAGGUCUUGGAGGGUGCUGGGAAGAAAGAGGGAGGUGAAGGAGUAACUCCCCAUUAUCGGCAUGGCAAUCAGUUGGAUGGAGGUGUCCUUGGCUGAGAUCAGAAGUAGAGGAGAAGAACUUCUUAGAGGAGCGAUGGAAUAUGUUUGAUCCUGAACUUGCUGGCCUGAGAUAGCCAAGAGACGAUGACACACAGACAAGUAGGUACAGGAUGUGAAACUUAAAGUCUGGGUUACGGUUAGCAAUAUUGGAGUCCUCAGUAUUUGGGUGGUCACUGAACAAUGGACACGGAUGAAAUUCUGAGGAAGACAGCCCAGAAGAAAAGAGGACCCGGGAACAGCUGGAAGGAGCCUGACACUUAAUGGACAGGCAGAAGAGGACGUACCGGGAGAGGCAAGUCAGAGAGCGGGAGGGACAUGUGAAGGCUGCCGCCUGGGACCAGGCAAAGAAGAGAGGCAGGCAGCGGUUGCUGGUACACCGGGCAGCUUCUCAUCACUACACAAGGACCCGAGAGGUUGAUGAAGCAAGGUUUCUUUCUGCUCAUGGCACUGGAGGGUCACAGGCCAAGACUGGGUGCCCCGUUAAGUCUGGCAUCUGGUGAGGGUGGUGGACAGCAGACCUGUGAGGAGGAGGAACUGUACGGCCAGCCUGGAAGCAGAGAGACACAGGGAGCGUGCGCCUCAGUGUGGUCCUUCUACAAGUCAGCACGACCUGAUCUCAGGGGCCCCUCCCAACCUAAUCAAAUCACAUCCCUCUCCAAGGCCCCACCCUCACUCACAGUAACUGGAUUAAGUGCUGUUAUAACAUGAGACUCUGAGAAUCAAGAUUUUAACACAUGGGCCUUUGGGGUAACUCAAACUAUUAUACAAACCAUAACAGCUGUGGGGAGGUCAAGUCAGUGAGAAACUAGGGGCAGGCACUUAGCAUUGUAGUUGACGCCACUUAGGAUACCUGCAUGCUAUACUGGAGUGCCUGGGUUCAGAUCUGGGCUCUGCUCCUGAUUCCAGCUUCCUGCUAAUGAGACAAGAGACUAUGGCCCAAGUACAUGGGUUCCUGCCACCCAUGUGGGAGACCUACAUUGAGUCCCAGGAUCCUGGUUGCAGCCUGGCCCGGUCCCAGCUGUUGCAGCCAUUUGAGGAGUGAACCAGUGGGUGAAACACCUUUCCCUCUCUCCCUCCCU